GCAAAACGCGAAGAACCUUACCAGGUCUUGACAUCCCGCUGACCGCUAUGGAGACAUAGCUUUCCCUUCGGGGACAGCGGUGACAGGUGGUGCAUGGUUGUCGUCAGCUCGUGUCGUGAGAUGUUGGGUUAAGUCCCGCAACGAGCGCAACCCUUGUCCUUAGUUGCCAUCAUUCAGUUGGGCACUCUAAGGAGACUGCCGUACAAAUACGGAGGAAGGUGGGGAUGACGUCAAAUCAUCAUGCCCCUUAUGACCUGGGCUACACACGUGCUACAAUGGACGGUACAAACGGUUGCGAAGUCGCGAGACGGAGCCAAUCCGAGAAAGCCGUUCUCAGUUCGGAUUGCAGGCUGCAACUCGCCUGCAUGAAGCCGGAAUCGCUAGUAAUCGCGGAUCAGCAUGCCGCGGUGAAUACGUUCCCGGGUCUUGUACACACCG
rnacentral:rRNA from 1 species